CUUCACACUUUGAUCAGUUUAAUAUGGGAGUGUUGUUUUAUGAACCUUAUUGAUAUUUGUGGUAUUACUCUUUGAGAUAGGAGAAUGUGGAAUCUUUAGACAAAAUGACAAGGAGAGAGAAAAUCAUGCAGCUUUAGUGUGUCUGUGUUGCUGCAUUGUUGCACUUGCUUUUUAAAAUUAGUUUUUCAGUUCUCCUCAAAAGUGCUUUAGUAAACGAUGACUGUCAGUGUUCAGCAGUCACAGGACAAACACAGUCCAGAGCCUCUGCCUGCACCUUGCCGACAAGGCCUGUAAUGGGAGCACCAUGAUGUCUUUGUACAAAGAAUUUCACAGAAGGAAAGUAAGCUGUUCUCUGUUCUCAUUUAUAGAUGGAGAGAGAGAACUGAAGAGUAACCUUUAUGGAACUCACAUGGCACCUGAAUAAUUUGCAUUUAGAAAGGAUGUUCCUUUCGUGUUCAAUUGGUUUAUUGAAUCUAUGUUAGACUCCUGUAAAUGCUGCACAGCUUUUGCAUCUCUAGUACUUUUCCUAAAUGAAAGACCAACCUUUGGAGUCUGGCUUGGUAUAUUACAUUUAUGUUUAGUCUAAAAGAGGUAAUGAAAGUCAUUGAACUGAAUGGCACAAAUUCCCUUGGUCCUUUAGAAGCAGCUUUAACAACAGUCUCACUUGGAUCUUCAGAGCGACGGGAAUUAACAUCAUUACUAUCCAUAGGAACAUACUUCUGCUUGAAACAACCCUCACAAAUUCAUAUUUCAGUAAUUCUGUGAGGGCAGACUAUAGUGCCAAAGGAGGAAAAGCUGAGUAUGUUUCUUAUUCCCAAGAGAAAUUAAAAAGGAGGCAAGUGCUUUGAGUGGUUAGCAAGUCUCUUCGUGCUGAUUAUAGUGACCUGCCAUAAAGAAUUUUGAAACAAAGCUCAUGUUUCUGAACAAAAAUAUUUUGAAAAUGAGUGUGUUAAGGAGCCCUGGGGUAGGCGUGACUGUGGUCUGAGCUUGAUUUUUUCCCUAUAGUGUAUGGAUUACAUUUAAAAUAAAUUCUUGCAGCAGAUAGUGGUCAUGAGAAGUUUUGCCCUGCAGGUCAGACAGAAAGCUAUACCAAACGUAUAGGACCACCUUGUGUAGCUAGGUGGGAGGGACUUCUGUAACACAUCUACCUCAGCCCCUUUCCAUUUCAGUGGUGUUGUGUAGAUCUCUCAAUAUCUUAUAUGACAAUUUUAUGGACGAGAUAGUAUUUAACAAGAUAUUUGAGAUAUGGAGUGUUUGAGGUUUGGUUUGAGAUUUCUGUACAAAGGCAACAUCUCUUAGAAAUCAGACAGAAAUCUAUUUUGUGAAUUACAUGGGGGAAGUGCUUUGUGGAAAACGCCCAUAGUCAAGUCACUAAUAGGCAUUAUAGCUUUAAUAUUCUACUUAAUUUUCCCAGCAUCAGACACUCUCAGUAGCAUUUCUGAGAUUACCUGUAACAACUUGUUUGUACUAAGGCAGGGUGGCAGUUUAGCUGUGACUCUGCAAAGCGGAAAAAAGUUGAUGUCUGUGAACUCUGCACCCACACUCUCUUUAUUGCAACUUUGCAAUAUCUGUGCAAUUGUUUUCUUGAGCCAGAGUCUGGAAUCUCCUGAGUUACUCUGAACAUACACUAACUUCGGUUAUUGGUGUCCCAGCCAUGCAGAUCUCCUUGCCAAAGAAUCUGGACAGUUUUUAAAUGCUGUAUUGACAGAAAGGUUAUGGAUGCAAUCCUGUGUUCUGUGCAGCUGCUUAACUGUUUUGGAUGUAGACUGAGAAAUUGUCCCAUCCCGCUGAAUAAUAAUCUUAUCUCAGUCAACGUCAACUCAUGGUUGAGAUGGGGCAAGAGUAAUAUAACAAUGUGCACAGCAGUAACUUUAGCAUUUAAGACUCACAAGUAGCAUCAAACAGUGAUGUGUACUCUCAGAGAUAAAGGAUUCUGUCUGUUUGCCUUCUGUUCCUUGUUGUGCCUUUCCAAAGAAUAACAAAUCAUACCCAGUAUCCUGCUCUAUUUUCUGUAGGUGUUUCAAAAAUGAGACUUGAGGUGUUUAAGGGAUCUCAUAAAGCUCAAAAAUUAAACAUGGAUCAUAUAAAACAAUGGGUCUUCCCAUUGUUCCCAUUUUUCUUCUGUUUCAAGCAACGUAAGAGGAGCUUUACUGUUUUGUGCUCCGCUAUAAGGACCCAUGUUUAUAUACAUGCUUGUGUAAAGCAAAGUAAAAAUUCCAAAGGAAAGUGAGCUGACUUCUUCCUUCCCAGCUCCACGCAGACAAAAUGUUAGAAGGGCAAAAAUAGCAAUUGUGGUGCUUUAUGCAUUCCUGGGACAUGGUCAGGAAACAAUACGGAAACACAUAAAAAAUAGAAUAGAAUUAGAAACUAAUGUGCAGAAAUGUCUUGCUGCGAUUUUGCUUCUCCCUAAAUAAUGCUAUAAAUAAAUGAAUUGGUGCAACUGACAUUUCCCCCCAAUGACCUAGAAACUUUAUUUGGAACAAGGCUUACAGGAUAUUUUAUAACUUCUUUGGGAUUUCUCUUUACUUUUUAGUAACUUGGCAUAUGAAUUUCCGAGUGUAAUAUGGCACUACCAUCAAAAAGAAGAUCAAAAUAGUGACUAGAAUAAGUGAAAAGGAGAUAGAACUAGCACAAAUCUGUAUGGAACAAAGAAGUUACAUUUAUUAUCCAAAGUACAUCUCCCAUUGGGAGCUUGGGUAGCUAUCAUACAAAUUGUGAUGGAAGAUGUCAUCUAAUGAAGGGCCAUUGUUAUGGGAAGCAGGUAGUCUCCAUUUCAAAUAAAAAUCUAGGCACAAUGAUAUUAGAUUUUAGCAUGCAAGGAGCCAAAGGAGCCCCGUCUGUUAUUAGGCACUUAAUCUCACUACCUGAUGUGAAAUUGUCUAAUAGGAAAAUCAGGUAUGAAUUUCUGUGGAAAAAAUGCAAAUUGUAUACAAAGUUGUCUCUGUGAGUCUUAUGAUUGGUGUUAGUGCUUAAAGGUUAAGUUCUGGUUUCAAUGAAACAGAUCUUGUGGCUGUUCUUGGAGUCUGUGAGCUUUAUUAAGUAUAUGAAUAUCAAAUAACACCAUACACUUGAUUUAUCUGAUAGCAAGAUAUGUUUUCUUUGCCUCCCUUGGAUCCUCAGACCUUGACUGAAUCCCAUCACCUGAGACAGGCAUUUCUUUCUCUGUUGCUUCUGUGACAUCUGAAUGUAAAUGUGAAUGGGGAAUCUGUCUUUGGAAGACAUGAAUGAGAUUUGUUGUCUUUUAGUGGUCAGCUCUGGUAUAUAUGCUCUUUUAUGUAUCUGCAUAGUCUAUAUAAGACAAUGAAUGAGAGUAGGUUUUACCUAGGGAGACAGAUGAGAAAUAAAGGAUGAGUAGAUCUCCUCAUCCACAUGUGAAAUUCUAGCCCUAAUUUAUAACAAUGAGAGUUUUGCUACUGACUUCAGUAGGAUCAGUUUUACCCCUACAGUGCAGUUCUGCUUUCCUUGAAGAACUAAUGUAUAAAAUACAGCUUCUGCCAGCACAUUACCAAUGUAUUAGCAUAGAAAGAGAGUAGCAUUGAAUAACAUCCAUAACCAGUAAUAGCUGCUGUGAGCAUCCUGUUGAGCAGUGUACUGAUGUUAAUCACCAGCUUCCUGGGUUUAGUAUAUAGUAUACUAUAUAUAGUGUAAUACUAUUUUCUUCAUACCUGGAUGAGGCAGACUUAGUAUGAGUUGGGGUUCUUUGUGGAACUGUGGUUAGUUUUUGUUUUGUUUUGUUUUUUUCUUUUUUUUUAACUCAUCAAAGUAUGUCUGAUGUGGUGUAGCUUCUUUGAUUUUUUGUUAAUAAAUCACACCAUUUAUAACUAAACAAGUUUUUGAAACCCUUCGAGGCACAGUUUAAUUUUUCAGCUCUUUUAGUCUGGUUCUGCCUAGCUCCUUGUUAGCUUCCCAUCCUCAGGUCUUGCCUUUUGUAAAGCAGAUAUGAUCAUGCAUGCAUUUUUGUGAGGUGUCUCACACCUCAUGGAGGAAGAAAAAAACCCUGUUGAUUGUGAUCACAGACUUCCCUGACCCUCUGCUCAGUAGGUAGUGUGCAGCAGACAUUAGUAACAUUAUAGAGGCUCUUUGGCCAGUGUGUUGCCCAUAAAUCAUGGAUUGAAGACCAUUGCUCAGUAUCUUCCAGGUCAGAUUAAUAUACUUUUUCUGACAGGACUGUUUAGAUGUCAGCUAGGAGAAUCACUCCUUUAUGUGUUUGUGUGAGACCGAAUCCUGUAGAUAAAAUUAUAUUGCAUAAUAAUUUCCUGCAGUUCUACAGAAACUUGUUAGUGUAGUCCAAAGUUUAAUUCAGCAUCUCCCUAUGAAAUUGGAUCUCUACUUUGUAUUUCUGAUUGCUUCUCUAAGGUCAGUUGAUGACCUGGAAGCAAUCGUUCUUUUUCUGAAUAGUGCCUUGAUGCUUCCUACUAAAGUAGUGGAGAUCACCUUCUGCUGAACUUGUAUGUAUAUGCAGCAAUAGCAGCCACGAUGGGUGUUUCAGUGCACUGCAUAAGAUCUUUCAAGUUAAGGGGGCUCUGACGGAUCAGUUAGUUUUUGUGUGCCUGCAUUUGACUGCACAGUUUAAAUCAUCUGGCUCAGAUCAAGUGGUAACUUAUAGUUUCAAACUCAGCAGUGUCUGCUGCAGGGGGAAUUCUUCUGUUCCUGUAAAUGAGAAAACAACACUCAUGCUAACGCUGGCCCUGGAAUUUCUUUGUAAUAAUCCUUCCUGAGAAACUUGAGCUUUCUUCAUUGCAAAUAGGAAAACGCUUGAAGGAGAAUGUGCACAUGACUGAGAACUUAAGAAGGAAAGAAAAGGAGUUUGUCUAAUUACUUCCAAAAUGUAGAAGUGAGAAAGAAGAAUGUAUAUCAAAACAAAAAGAAGUGAAACAGAAAAGUGAGGUGACAUAAUGCUUUAAGAUUCUGAAAGGAAACUGGAGAUUUUACUCAAGGCUGGUCAAAGUUCUACAUUGAGAUAAUAGAAUACACCAUCCUGAGAUACUCAGCUUGGUAAUUUGAGAGCACUUCAUUAACUCUUUUCAUCCUAGUGUGCUUCAGACUGAGCAUCUCCAAUUUUGGCUUUUUAUACUACAUGCAAUAGAUUCAUUUUUCCUUUCUUAUAAAGGAAGAAUGGAACUGUCUUCAGCAGUAUACUCUGAAAAGCCUUAUGGAUUCAAGCUGUCCCUUAAUCAGUGUUGUGGAGGAUGCAAUUUUGAUCUUUUUCUCUAAUGUAUGAACUAUGAUACAUCCUGACAUACACCUGUCAGACCAGACUGAAAGCAUGGAGUUGUAGACACAUAUUACUAGAACUGGGCCAAGAAAUUGGUUUCAAUCUAAAAAGGGGGAUAGAAAUGUAACAUAGAUGGGAAACAGAGUACCUCAAAGUAAGGUCAUAAUGGAAGAUUUAAACUGCACAAUUGAACAGACAGUAACAAGAGAUCCUUAAAAUAUGCUGCAGUAUCUGCAUACAGAUACUGACUUUUACAAAUGUGCAACAAAUGUGGAUUGUUUGUGAAAAGAAAAGCAAUAGGUCAAGAUGUAAAAUAAUGGAAAAAAUCAACUCUGCAAAGAUAAAUAUUUAUUUCUGUGGACAGCAACGGCUUUCUACUAAAACUGACAAGAAUGAUGAUUCCAACCCUCUUUAAUAUUUACUGAAGAAUUAGGAAGCUAUUGGGAGAGUGCAGCAAAAAUCCCCUCUUCUGCAUUCUAGAGAAAUAAGCAAGCCUAGCAUUGCCAGUCCAUACUGAAGAAUACUCCAGUGUACUGAAAGCUACAGGUCUGCAGAUCCACCUACUAAAAAGCACCAGCACUUGCUACUGAACAAAGCAGAGGCAAAUAUAAAAUGAAAAAUCCCACAUCAACUGAAGGAUGCCAAUGAAUUCUUUCUCAUCUGAGUUUUUAUGAUUUUUAGUACUUCGAUGAAAUGCUGCUGUAUGGCAGAUUACAAGCAAGAGGUGGAUGCAUCUGGUUUGUUUUAAAGCCUCUUCCAUUAGGGACAGGUAAGCAUCACUGUCAUCUUUUCAUACUGUAGCACAUUUUAAUAUCUUCUCUUAUUCUUUGGGUUGGUUUCCAUUUCCAGUCCUUAACUUAUGACCUCUUUUUGAUUUAGACUUUGAUUACACUCCAGAAGAGAGAAUUCACUUGAACUACAAAAUCCAUUUGUUAUGGUACUAAUAAAAAUUGUGCCUACUGAAAACUGCAGUGGAAGAGAAAGGGAGGAAGCCUAACAGGCUUGACACCACCUUUUGUCUGUAUUGUAGCAAGGGAAGAGGGAAAGAUAUCCAGGAAUUGUCUUAUCAUCAUAUCAUAUACAUGAGCAUUUUUGUUUUUCUAAUCUCUUUGAUUUUUCAAUGCCUCUCUUAAUCCUUUCUUCUUGAAGCAAGGAAGGAAAAUGAUAUUACAAGUACUCAAUUUUUUUCUUUCUCAAGAGCAGCUAGUGUCCCUUGUGUUGAGAAGGAAUUGGGAUCAUGUGGAAAGCUAGAUUUCAACUGAGGGCAGUUUGUGGGGUUUUGCCUAUAACUAAGGUUUAGCUGAGUUGCAGCUGAAGUAUAGUUUAGCAGAGUGCAGAUUCUGCAUUUUCCUACACUCAUGUAUUGCUUUCUUACCUCUCCUAAUUUUCUGCUUUUCCUUUCCUUCUCUGAAGGCGCCAAAUGGAAAGCUGUAUAAUCUUUUUGAAUAUAUUCUAUGAUUCUUGCUGAUGAAUUAGAUGAACAGCUGCUUGGAACAGCCUGGGAAUACAAUUUGGUGAAAAAAAAGAGAUGAGAUACAAACAGAUUCCCUUAUGAUGCCAUUCAUUCCAUAUGCAAUAUUAUCCUAGAGGGGUGGAAACAUGGCAAGACCUAAAAUUCAAUUUGAAUUUGAGCUGGUUUUUAAAGAAGCAAUUCUACAUACACUGCACCCACAAAACCAUGUGCAAAUUGGCACACACUUUCACUUUUUUUGUAAGAACAGCCUCGUUGGUUGUAUGCAUUUUUCUCUCUGUGCAGAAGAACUUUUACAGGGACAACUAUUGUAAUUUCUUUUCACUAUUUCCCAAAGUUAUGCUAAUUCUUACAUUAUUUGAUUCUCAUCAUUUCUGUGUGCUUUAAGCAAGGUGUGAAGGAAAAAAAUGGCUCACAUUUUGGCAUGCAAGACAAUCAAAAAUCCAUUCCAGUAAAUGAAAAGGAACUCAUUGAUAUGUGUCAGUGUUCCUGUAAUAUCCUCCUGAUCACAUUCUGCAUUGUAAUUUUGUGUUAAGACUGGAAAUUAAAGCUGAUCUACUUCUCAGUUGCCUUAUGAAUGUUGUACACCAACUGAGCAAUGGGCAUUUUGUUUUCUUGUCUUGCUGCUUCAGUAAACUCCUUCCCAAGUUCUCUUCAGCUAGCAGUCUCUUGGGAAACACACACGGUAUUAAACAUGCCUGUCUAUAGAGAUGGGAGAGCCAAAGAAUUACACUGAUCUUGGAUAAAUUAUCAUUUAGUUCUGAUCAUUCACACUACUUUAGAAAGGUUGAUGAGAUUUUUUCGAUGGGAAUCUUGCAUCAGUACAGGCUGGGGCUGCCCUGCUGGAGAGGAGCUCUGCAGAAAAGAACCUAGGGGUCCUGGUGAACAACAGGUUGGCUGUGAGGCAGCAGUGUGCCGUUGUGGCCAAGAAGGCCAAUGGUAUCCUGGGGUGCAUUAAAAAGAGCAUGGCAGUAGGUCAAGGGAUGUUAUCUUCUCCCCCCCCUACUCUGCCCUGGUGAGGCCACAUUUAGACUACUGUGUCCAAUUCUGUGUUUGAUGGUUCAAAAAAGAGAGGAAUCUCCUAGGAGUCCAGCAGAGGGCCACAAAGAUGAUGAAGGGCCUGGAGCAUCUCCCAUAUGAGGAAACAUUGAGUACCCUGGAUCUGUUUCAGUCUGGGGAAAAAAAAAGACUGAGAGUGAAUGUGAUAAAUGUUUAUAAAUAUCUGAAGGGAGAUGGGAGGCAAAUAGAUGAGGCCAGGCUCUUCUCAGUGAUGUGUAGCAAUAGGACAAGGAGUAAUGCCCUAAAACUUGAGCAGUGGAAUUUCUGUAGUAAUGUGCAGAAGAACUUCUGUGCAGUAAGGGUGAUGGAGCACUGGAACAGGUUGCCCAGAGGGGUUGUGGAGUCUCCAUCUGUGGAGAUACUCAAGACCCAGCUGGACAUCUACUGGUGUGGCCAAUUGUACAUGAGAGGCCUUCUUGGUAGUUACAUAAAAGUGGAGAAAGUAAGUCUAUAUUUUUAAAUUAACUCUUAGGAAUCAUCUCAUAGCUUAAUAUUAGUCCUGAAGGCUGCAACACAGAUAAUGUUUCUGUUUCUUUAAAAUGGAUUGUGUUAGCUCUGGGGAUGAAAACAUCAUCAGCUCAACUGUAACUAUAGCUAGAUACUUUGUGCUUCUGUGCACGUGCAUAGCUUGAUAUUAUCUGUGUACCGGUAACAGUGAUACCUAAGGCUACCAUGGAUAAACACUGAAGGUUUCUGAUGACAGCAUCUUCAGCACAGGAUAAAAGCUCUAGUGUGGUUUGUGAUACCAUCAUAACCUGAGGUGCUGACAGAGCUCCAUUCACAGUUUCCCUUGUGUUUGCAACCCUGUUCCAGAUUUUCUGCAAAUCUUACAAGUUUACUCUGUUCCAAUAUCCAAGAUGUGAAAUGAAAAAUUGAACAGAAUAGGUCCAAUGAGGAAUCCCUGAAGGAUGUUACUGCAGGAAACUGUUGAUAAAUACUGUUAGGCAAAAAUAUUUAACUGCUUGUGUGUCAACUGUCAGUCUCUUACUGCAUAAUUAUUUUCUCUCAUGUGCUACCCUCAUGCCUGUAUACUAACUGUCAAAUAACCUUCGAUAGUAUUCUUCAGUGAUGGAUAAAGUAUUAAUGAAAGUCAGGUCAGCUGAACUCGAAUUCCUAAGAGAGGCACUAUUUUAAUCAUUUCCAGUCUUCUAGAACCUCCAUCACACUUCAUCAGUUCUCAAAAGAAAAAGAAUAAUCAAGCAGGGGCUAUUUUAGCUUUCUAAGUGCCGUAGGAUAUUUUAGCAUAUUUUCUGUGGAAAUAUUUAUAUGAUCACUAGUCAGGCCAUACCAUAACUUCUGAACUUGUUACUCUCUUUCCAAGCAAAUUAGACUGAACAGUAGUGGUGUCAGUGGUACUAUACUUCUAUAGGUUUUGUGAAAAUGACCAGGUAAGUAGAGUCCCCCACAUCAGCAAAGAAUUCAGUGUAAAUGAAACCAUGAUUUCAGGCAUUGGAAAACUCGCACAAGAACAUUGUUAUGAGUAUUACAUCUGAAAAUGUGAGUCUGAGCUUUUACUCCAGGCUGAUCCGAACAUGAGACACAAGACUACAGGGCUUAUCCACAGCUUUCUUUACACUUAAGUUGGAAGGAUGGAAAACUGGCUGUCUUAAUAUCACUUAACUAAUUCCCCUUUUUUUUCUGAUCUGUGCUUCUUGACUUUUAUGAAAACUAAUUGCUUUGAGAAUCUGAUGCUAAGAUUAUUUUUGUAGACACGUGAAGCACAUUAGGCAAAAAAAGAACACUGAAUAUUUUUGUCUUUUUUUUCUGUGUUUUAUCAUUCACUAUCUUUCUUGUUAGAUACUAAAACUGAGCCUUCUUUUGUUUCCCUUCUUCUGUGUUUACCCUGUGAUUGGCUUUCAGUUUGUUUCUUCGUUUAACACUUUUUGCCUCAGCCUUCCUGAUUUGAUUCCCCCAUGACUUUUAGUCAUUUGUUCUUGUCUCUGAAUAUCUGUGACAACCUCCUGGGUUGCUUUUUUUUUUUUUUUUUUUUUUUUUUGUUAAUCAUAGAAUUCUUGAUGAAGCUUUGCUGCUUUCUUUCCGUACUUUCUUUGCAUCAACACAGCCUGCUGUUGUGUCUUCUUAAUAUGCCUUUCUCAGAAACUAUCAGCUCUCCUAUGUUCUAAUUUCCUUCCUGAAUCUCUUUCAAAAAAUCUACCCACCCAUUCAUUCCUUAAGCCAAUGAGACUGCUUUUGGAAUCUCAUUCUCUCUCUGUCAUUACAUGCUUUCUUUGCCAUCAUUAAUUUUAUUGUUCUGAGGUCAAUAUUAUACAGUCUUCCACCUUUGUCUUACCAGUUAAUAGUUCCCGAUUAAGUAACACACAAGGCAGCCUCUUCCCUCUCAUCUCAUAACUCUUGGAAACCACACGUUGUUCUCAGUACCUUUCAGGAAUCUGGUAGCUGGCUUAUCUCCUGUACUGUUAUUUUCCUGAACAUUCUGUGUGUGCUGCUGAGGGCUGGUGAGGAAGAAGGUUGGCCCAGGUCUCCUAUGGGGACAGUAUCCUUCAGUAUCCUUUUUUUUUUUUUUUUUUUUUUUUUGUUUGGAGGGAGGAUGUGCAUGAAACAUGACUUUUCUGGACAUAAGCAGGGAGAGGACAGUGGACUAGGUGGGUGUCAGAUCUGAUCAAGCAAAGCAGGUCCUCUGUUCCCAGCACAGUGUCAUCACAGUGUGAAGCAGCAGUUCAACAGAGCUAAAGCUGAAAGGGGGAAAAGGCAAGAAAUCUGUAAAUUACAAUAUGUCUUUUGGAUAUCUAAUAUUUCAUUAUCUCUCAGGGUUGUAGUUGAUGUUAUAUGGCCAAAAUUUGAAGGCCUUAUUCACAAUUACAUUAAAAAAAAACCACUGGUCUCAAAUUGGUAUGACUUGUCUGAACAAAGCAUCAAGAUGUGCCCCAUUGCUAUUAGAAACCAUACACAGACAUGACUGUCUGCAAACAUUGUCCAUCUCUAAUGGCUUAAAAUCAAAGGCAACAAAAUAAGCUCCAAGCAAGGAGGGUACUUCAUGAAAGAAGAUAUAAGGUGUAAACAGUGAAACGCAAGUAUGAAAGAUGUAUGGAAAAGCACAAACUUAAAAAAAAAAAAAAUGGAGAGGAAGCCUGACACAUAAGAGGAGACUGUUUACCAGAGAACAAUAUUAUAAAAGGAAUAGUCUGAGUGUAGGAAAAAAUUGCAGGGAGCAGCAGACAAGUAGAUUGCAAGGGAUACAGGAAGAAGAACAGUAGAAGAAAAUGAAAAUAGACAGGUGGGAGAGAAGAAAGUGAAUGCAGCAUCCAUCAGGUUUGGGUUUUUCAUUUCUUCACCAGUGAACAUUUAAAUCCCAGUUAUUUUUGAAAAAAAAUGACAAACAGGAAAGGAUUGUAAAAUUGUCCUUCAUUCUGACUGGAAUGUAGCUAAUCAUCUUAGUAGUUAGAAGAAGAGUCUGGAGCUGAGAGGAACAUUUCUAUCGUAAGAACACAGUUUAAUUUUUGGUUGUGGUUUGAGAGGGGGGUUGUUUGCAGGCUUCUUAGAGAUUUGAGUACAAGUAAUCACAGCAGAGGUGGAUCACCAGGUCUGACUGCUGGUGACGAUAGCAAAGGUGUAUGAUAAACUCAAUUUAUGACAAUUACAUGGAUGAUAAAAAUAGAUCUGUGCUUACAUGGUGUUUGUGUUCUCAAGUGUAGGCUUUAUGUGAUACCAUUUUUUCAUUUUGGCUUCUCUUCAUCUUGAUAUGCUGGUAUAUUUAGGGAGGAUAUUUUUGCUUGUGUAUUAUUUAUGUAUGUUUUUGUUACCUUGCAACUCACAGUUGCUAGCAAGUGCUAUAUUAAAAAAAUUAUAAAGCAUGUAGUGUGGUAUGUGGCUUAGGGAGACAGCUCUAAUUCAGUGAGCUUCAAAAUUGAUUUAAUCAAGAUCUGAGUAACAUUUUCCUAUAAAAACACCAUUGCUUUAAAUCAAUUUUUUAAAAGUUUAACUACACUUGAAAAUUAAUAUUGGUAUAAUUACAACAUUCCUUUCUGCUCGUAAGUAGAAAUGCUACAUGAGAAUCAGGUACAAAAGCUGUUAAAUCUGCAGGCGUGUUGUACCACAGUAAUGCACUUGCUGUCACAGUCACUUGGCAUUUUACCUUGUACUCACGCCAAAGCUGCAUUUUGAGUCUCUAGGAUGCAGCCUGGAAGAUUCUAGUCGGCACUGCAGCUCUGAUGGUGGGAGAGCAUCAGUGUGGCAUGGGGAGGGUCUGCAGUGCAUGCAGCUCUGUUAGGUGUGGGAAAGACUGUGUGUGAGCUGUGAACCUCUGCCAUUCACUAUGACAGAGAACAGUAGUUUGAGUUAUAUUUUUCUGGAAUACUACAUUCCAUCUAACCUAGAAAUAUCAUAAAUACAUCAUUUUAAUGAUGAAGUAAUUUAGGCAUUUUCUAUUUGAGCCCAUGUGCCAGUGUCCAUUUUAGUUAGGAGAAUACUUUUUCUACCACAUUGGCGGCUGGUGCUGGUUAUAGGAUGUGUGUGUGUCCUUCUACGUAUGGGAUAGGAGAGAGCAUGUACGUUUGUGUAGGUAGAUGGAUUUAUUAAAUUGGUCUACUGGCAAACAUACUGCUACAUCAGCAUAGAGCACUGCAACAGCUCAUGUUUCUCUUUUAAGGAAAUACAUCUACAGCUAUAAAAACACCUUCCUGGUGGCAUAAAAUGCUGUAUCUGAAAAACUGUGUAAAGUGGAGAGAAGCAAAUGAGGCCACCUGCCACAUAUCUGAUACAUCUGUGAUCCAGAAGUGCCAGGAUGACAGAAAACUAAUAAAGAGUUUGUGAUUUUCAUAACAAACAGAACCAACCUUGCUUUUACUGGCAUCAUAAGUAAUGGUGGCCCAAAUGAAGGGACCUGAAUGGUGGUUGGUGAAGAGAAUUGCUUAUUUGAGAAAGACAAAAAGAAGUCUGGGCUGCUCCGCUUUUCGUUGAGGAACUUGCGCACAGUCCAAGAAGAUGGAAGAAGGCCAUAUAUUGAAUAUUUCUGGUUAAAGAUGUAUAUGAGAGGAUAAAAAGAUCUAGUGCAAUUGUUGACCAUAUUACAGACCCUCGUGAUCUCUGAAUCCUGCCAUUUCCCUGAUCUCUGGCACAUAGAGACUGAUAUAAGUUUGGAAGCAUCUAGUUCAGUACUUCUCCAGGGAUCUUAUCCAUACUCAUAAUUAUGGAAACUCUUGCCUUUCAGUCCUAGGAGAAGCACAAACCUGCUAAAUCAAGUUCCCCUUCUACCCCAAUUUCUUCUGAUUGUCCCAUGAAUGUAAGGUCUCCCUUCUAAUUACUGACAUAAUUUAAGUAUGGUCUUAUUUACAACUCAUAUGUAAAUAUACAUUGUUCACAUAAUUGGUCACAUGACUUGGUCAGUCACUGCUCCCACAUAUCUCAGUAUCUGUUAAUUGCACGAAACUUCAGCCACUUGAUUGAAAAAUGAUAGCAGAUUGCUGGUGGAAAGAGAGAUAGGAGACCCUGUUACUGGGAACAUGUACUAUUUGAUUAUAAGAGUGCCUGUUUCUCACGAGGACACCAAAAGGCAUUUGGUGCCAGUGAACAGCAAAGGUGAAGGUCAUGGAAAAAUUAAAAUCUCUGAAAUUGUAGCACAAUUGUAGCAUUCUUCCCCUAGAAUCCCUGGGUAAAGCUUUGGUUUUUAUAUGUAAUGCCUGAAAUCGUCUCUUUGUUCUGUAAUAGUUUGUAAAAGUCUAGAAAUUGACAUUAGACCUGAGUACACAGCUAUCUUUGUAGGUGCAAUGCAAAUGCCUAUAGAAGGUCACUCCUGCUGCAGUCUUUCUUAUUUUGCUAUGCAGCUCAUCAGUCCUUUUCUUUAGCUUCUUCCUUAUCUCCUAGUUAACUUUUCUUACUGUUCUAAAGAUUUUGGGGUAGAGUGUGAGUUUAUCUGUGUAAGAAACUUUCAUCGCAGUAAUUCCAUUGGCAAAGCUGAAAGCUCUCACCAUUCUGUUGUUUCAGAUUUUUGUUGCUUGGUGUUUCUUAUCUUUGGAAUAAUGACAUUUCAAAAUGUUUUCCUGUUCUUCAAGUGUCCUUGAUCUGAGGGUUGCUGCUGUGAUAAACCUUUGCUAGCUAACAUUUGACUUACUUUCAUGGGAGAAAUAGCACAUAAGCAUUUCACUCCCUUCUGUUCUGAUCUGAAUUUCAAGGUCCUUUCUUAGCAUGUAGUGAAAUCCAGUGAGCUUUCUCAGGACUAGGUGGGAAUCAAGCCUUCCCUCGUAUGCAGAUACGCAACACCAUCUCUGUUUCUAUCCAGUGCAAUCCUACUGAGUGGAACUUUCCUCCUUUAUCCCACCUCGAGUCACGCCUGAUAUCAUAGGUGCUGCGUACCCAGCAAACAGUAAUUGCAGACUAUUCCACUCCUGAAAAAGGCAAAGAAAAAGAUCUAAUAUAAAAACAUUUGUAUUGUUUUUAACAAAAUUAAUAAUAAUAAUGAGUAAUAAUUA